rnacentral:rRNA from 1 species
UUUUUAUAAGGAAAACUACGGAAAAGCUGUAGCUAAUACUUGCUUUAUUAUCCUUUGAUUUUUAUCUUUGGAUAAGUAUUUGUUAGGCCUUAUAAGAAAAAAGUUAUUAACUUAAGGAAUUAUAACAAAGAAGUAACACGUAAUAAAUUUAUUUUAUUUAGUGUGUAUCAAUCGAGUUUCUGACCUAUCAGCUUUUGAUGUUAGGGUAUUGGCCUAACAUGCUAUGACGGGUA